rnacentral:lncRNA from 1 species
ACGUGAGUUCAAAUUUCCUUACCCUUACUCUCUAUGUGACCCUAGACAAAUCAUCUAACUUCUCUCAGCCUCAGUUUCUUUAUCUGUAAAAUGGGGAUCAUAAUAAGACAUAGUUCCCAAGUUUUCUGUGAAGAUAAAAUGAAAUGUUUGUAAAGCACUUUGCAAAUGUUCAAACACUACAUAAAUGCUAUUGUUAUUAUUAUAACCAUGUGAGAUAGAUAUUGUGUGUAUUACUGUUCCAAUUUUGACAGAUGAGAAAGCAAGACUUGGAAAGGCAAAAGAACUAGAGCUUAUCAUGCAUUUAAGGUCGAAGAGGCUGGCACAUGAUUAUUUGCGGGAUGCCAAGGAUUUGACAAGAAGACAAUGGUUUCUGCUUCAUUUUUGUAAUGUGAGGUCAAUGGCCUCAAAAGUAUGUUCACAAACCGGGCAUUGGAAGUGGAGCCUAACUAACAUGCCAAGGAAUUCUCUCAUCUCCUACUCUGGCUCAACAUCUGAGGAAGCUCUUUUCUGCAACAAAUAGUUAAAAUCUUUCCCCCACACUCAGUUUGUACAAGCCAACAAAUCUGUGAAUGUAAGAAUGUGAAAGGACUGUUUUGGUGACAGCCAAUUGAAUGAUAUGGCAAUGUGGUCAUUUUCAGGAUAAAGUGACUAAGAGGGGUCCUAGUCAGUGGGUUAAGUGGUAGAGGAACUGAAAAUGGAGUCUCUUUCUAGUGAAGUUUGAGCUUCACUUUGCUUAUUUUAAUUCAAAUUAGCGAAUAUUUAAUGAAAGUGUUACAAAUCAUCAGAAUGUCCGAUAUAGUCAGUUAAGUAUAAAAAUGAAUUUCAAAAACAAAUAUAAAUGAUUUUAGGAUCAUCUAUUUAAUUGGUCUCUAUCAGUUGGAAAAUAAGUUAAUGCCCAUCAGUUGGAGAAUGGCUGAGUAAGUUAUGGAAUAUGAAAAUAAUGGAAUAUUAUUGUUCUAUUAAAAAAAUGAAGAAAAGGCUGAUUUUAGAAAAGCCUGGAUUUACACGAACUGAUGCUGAGUGAAACAAACAGAACCAGAAAGACGUUGUACAGCAUUGUGCAACAAUAAAAUUAAGUAAUGUUUAACUGUGAUAGACUUAGCUCUUCUCAGAAAUUCAGUGAUCCAAGGGAAUUCCAAAAACUUUGAAUGGAAAAUUCCAUCCGUAUCCAGAGAGAGAACUAUGGAGACCGAAAGCAGAUUGCAGCAUGCUACUUUCACCUUUUUUCCCCUUUCUCUCUUUUUUAUUUUCUCAUGGUUUUUCCCUUUUGUUCUGAUUUUACUCUCCCAACAUGACUCAUAUGAAAAUAUGUAAAAGAU